rnacentral:rRNA from 1 species
CCUACGGGUGGCAGCAGUGAGGAAUAUUGGUCAAUGGACGAGAGUCUGAACGAGCCAAGUAGCGUGAAGGAUGACUGUCCUAUGGGUUGUAAACUUAUUUUAUAUGGGAAUAAAACAGGGUAUGCAUAUCAACUUGUAUGUACCAUAUGAAUAAGGAUCGGCUAACCCCGUGCCAGCAGCCGCGGUAAUACGGAGGUUCAGAGCGUUACCCGGACUUAUUGGGUUUAAAGGGAGCGUAGGUGGAUUGUUAAGUUAGUUGUGAAAGUUUGCGGCUCAACCGUAAAAGUGCAGUUGAAACUGGCAGUCUUGAGUGCAGUAGAGGUGGGCGGAAUUCGUGGUGUAGCGGUGAAAUGCUUAGAUAUCACGAAGAACUCCGAUUGCGAAGGCAGCUCACUGGACUGCAACUGACACUGAUGCUCGAAAGUGUGGGUAUCAAACAGGAUUAGAUACCCUUGUAGUC